AGGAAUGGGGCGAGUGUUCAGUGAGAAUGUGAGCUUAGCGCCAUCACCGGCCUACAGCGAGCCCUCCAUGAACAUCAGCUAUAGUCAUCAUCUCAUUCAAGCUACCAGCAGACAUCAAAUGUCUUUUAUUAUUUCUCAGAUGUAUAUUUUAACCCUUUUAAAGGGUAUGUUUCCUACAUGGUCUUGCACACAGCAGCUUGUGGAACGGAAAUACACUUUCUCUGGUGCCAUUACCAGCUGAGGUUUGCCUCAGUAAAGGGAAAAAAAAUACUCUGGACAGAUGGAGGUCAAAUUGGUCUUAGCAUGCUUCCACUCCCAGACCUCGAGGCGGAAGCCAUUCGGAUGAAAACACUGUUGUACACCAAGUUCGCUCAGCUUGAAGUUACCCUCUUCCACAGGCAAGACAGCAAGUGCUCCCUCUGAAACCCGUCAGGCUGUGCACUCCUUUAACGAGCAUGUGACCUAAGUUUUGACAAGAUGUUCGCUGAUAUUUUGCCAGCUUCUGGUAUUUUAAGAAAUACGACUGGAGCCUGGCGUGGAACCACGUGUGGAAUCCCAGCACGCAGGAGGCUGAGGCAAGAGGACCAAGGCCAGCGUGAACUACAGUGAGAUCCUGCCUCAGAAAGAAGGGGGAAGUGUGUCCAUGGGAUCCGCACGAUGUCCCUGGGGCAGCACCCUCCCUGGCCUGUUCACUGUGUAAUAUGCCACAAACUGCAUGUAAUCAGCCAUGAGGACUGAUUGGAUGUAUCCUUUGGCCACAAAACUCCACCCAUGAGCAGGCACCCACCAGUCUGGACCACUCGUCUCCUAUAUAAACCAUGGCUAUCAGCUUCUGAGGAAGAUGUCUCUUCAGAUGAGGUCCCGAUCAGCCACCUUCUGACCAGCUCACUAUGGUAAUGAAGUUCUUUCUCUGCCACUGCCUUGCCUCUUGACUGAUGUCUUUGUUGUGUGGCCAGCACAGCGAGCCUUUUGUGAGGUAACAGGAUGACCAAUUGUACUUUUCACUCCUGACACUCAUCAUUUAAACAAAUUUCAGCAUACUGAUAAAUUGGCCCCAAUCUCUCAAACCCCAGGACUUUGUGAUUUCUAAUAUAAACACCUUACAGGCUGGUAUUUGUUUAAUCAUGUAAGAACAGAUACCCUACACAUCUCCGUUAAUAACCUAUUGCCUUAUGAAGUAGGGAUAAAAGUUUUUUAAAAAAAAUCUAUGAGGACCAUAAUUUAUCCAAGAUAGUUUGAUUUGAAUGGUGUUUGAGUACCUCCAACCCUAUUAGACCCUGGAUGACAUUUAAAUAUAAGGUAAUAGUUGAGAAGAAAAUCAGGAAUUACAAAAUAUUUGUUACUGCAAGCAAUUUUAAUACAAAAGUGUGUCUUGUUUUAAACAGUUCAUUGGUAGAGCUUCAGUUUCUGCCUCAAUUAAAACCAAUUGAGAUAAUCACACAGCAACAUGGUCGGAGCUGAAGAGGAACAGCAGCUAAAAAACAGGAGCCCCAGACAGCUCCUCUGUGGUCAAUUGGUCAGUUGACUUUAUUACGCACAAAAAAGACGGAAGCGAACAGGACUGGUGAACAAGUGUGCUGGUGAGCUCCAUUAAAGGAUGAGCAAGUAUUUGUCUCAGGUCCACAUUUUCAGAAUAGGCUCGUGGAAUUCAUUCCUCAGUUUGUGGGAAGCUGAUCGACCAUUUAAAUAAAUAGCAGGUAAAAAGUGCAGAUAAACAAAUCUGUAAUCCACAGUGCCACCAAGGAGUCUCCCUCACCAAGGGUCUGGGGCCUGGUGAGCACAGGGACUACUGGUGGGGAGGCUGGAUAGUUACAAAUCGGUUUAAAAGCCCAAUGUUCUGACAUUUUCUAAACAGUUACAUUUACCCCUGAAUUCUAGUAGCUACGUGUCCGUCCACCCAGCGCUGGACAGUAUUCCAAGUCAGUAUUGCAGUCAACGCCUUUGCUGAACUGUGUGCAAAUGCUGCCUAGAUGAGGGUCCCGCUCUUCGGCUAAAAUCACACAACACUGAAACAAUGGAAACACAGUUAUGAGUGCCCUCCCCUCCGUUCUUGCUAACUGAGGCGUCUGUGAUUAUAAAAAGAGUUCCUUAAACACUG